rnacentral:rRNA from 1 species
GACGAACGCUGGCGGCGUGCUUAACACAUGCAAGUCGAACGGAAAGGCCCUGCUUUUGUGGGGUGCUCGAGUGGCGAACGGGUGAGUAACACGUGAGUAACCUGCCCUUGACUUUGGGAUAACUUCAGGAAACUGGGGCUAAUACCGGAUAGGAGCUCCUGCUGCAUGGUGGGGGUUGGAAAGUUUCGGCGGUUGGGGAUGGACUCGCGGCUUAUCAGCUAGUUGGUGGGGUAGUGGCUUACCAAGGCUUUGACGGGUAGCCGGCCUGAGAGGGUGACCGGCCACAUUGGGACUGAGAUACGGCCCAGACUCCUACGGGAGGCAGCAGUGGGGAAUAUUGCACAAUGGGCGGAAGCCUGAUGCGGCAACGCCGCGUGCGGGAUGACGGCCUUCGGGUUGUAAACCGCUUUCGCCUGUGACGAAGCGUGAGUGACGGUAAUGGGUAAAGAAGCACCGGCUAACUACGU